GUAAUGAUGUCAGAUAUUUGCCUGAAUAUCGCAGCAAUGCGAUAAAAGUAAACUGGCUAAUAACGGUGAAGGCUAAAUUUUGCGCAAGCAGGAUAUGCUAAUACCGUGGGAAGUCCUUCGAUGGAUUAUCGGAGUGACCCCGUAACGACUGAGGCGAAAGCCAAGAUCCCGAAAAAACGGGAUAACACGCCAGCGCUUAUCAAAUAAAAGAAACAUAUGGAUUUUGCUUCUUAUGUGACAGGCUUUAUCGAUGGCGAAGGAUGCUUUUCAGUGUCUUUCAAUUAUCGAGAGAAGCUGAAAACUAAAAUUGAGGUGCGUCCGAGCUUUGCAAUCGGACAAAACAAGCGCAGCCUGGAAAUUCUGAAAAAGAUUCGCCAAUUUUUCACUUGCGGAUACAUAAGAUUUUCCAAAAGCGAUCAAUGCUUCAAGUAUGAAGUGAGAAAUAUUGACGAAUUGCGCAAAUUCAUAAUCCCUCAUUUUAGAAAGUUUCCCUUGAUGACCACAAAAAAGGCGGAUUUUGAAAUAUUUUCAAUAAUCUGCGGCAAAGUGGCGCAAAUGAAACAUAGAAAUUCAGAGCACUUGAAAGAAAUUAUUCAAAUGGCUUUCAGGAUGAAUUGUUCUGGAAAAAGGAAAUACAAAGAAGCAGAACUCCUAAGUGUUUUAGAUAAGCUGAAGAUAUAGUCUGAUUUUUCGCGAAAGCGAUCA
rnacentral:autocatalytically_spliced_intron from 2 species